ACUUUGCUGGUUUUUUAUGUUCCCCGCCUCAAACACUUACCAGAGAAGAACGAGUCCUAAGUCGUAACUGUCUUGCAUCUGGAGAGAGCAAGUGUGUGUGUUAGCAGCCAAACACUCUGCUCCUGGCAUUUUUGUCUGCUUAAAAAUCUCCACCUGUCACUUUCCUCUCUCUCUCUCUCUUUUCUCAGGAGUUCAGUUUCUUCUUCUUCUUCUUCUGUUCCAUUUCCAAACCGAACAACACAAACAAAUUCCAAAUGGCGACGAUUACUUCUUUAACCGACGCUGCCUCCAUCGCCGCCGCCGAUUUAUCGUCUGUCCGCAACGUUACCGAUCAUUCUCUGUUCGAAUCCGGGAUUCAUCGGACUAAACGACGUCUCUUUUUCCGUGAAGCAGAUGCAAGUUUUUCUAUCAGAUCCAUGAAGAUCACUCCAGCUCAAACCGACACUCUUACCUCCUCAAACGGCCGUUUAAACGCCGACAAGCUGAACCCGACGGUUGAGCUCUUAAACGUCGGGGCUUUAGGCCAAGUGAAAAUGAACUCGAGUUCUCGGAGGAAAACCAAGAUUGUUUGCACAAUCGGUCCUUCGACGAGCUCACGUGAAAUGAUAUGGAAACUGGCUGAGGCUGGAAUGAAUGUGGCUCGAUUGAAUAUGUCCCACGGAGAUCAUUCUUCUCAUCAGAAAACCAUUGAUCUCGUUAAGGAAUACAAUGCUCAAUUUGAAGACAAAGUCAUUGCCAUUAUGUUGGACACUAAGGGUCCUGAGGUUAGAAGUGGCGAUGUGCCCCAACCAAUACAGCUUAAAGAGGGACAAGAGUUUAAUUUCACCAUCAAAAGAGGAGUUAGCUCAGAAAAUACUGUUAGCGUAAACUAUGACGGCUUUGUGAACGAUGUGGAGGUUGGAGACAUACUAUUGGUAGAUGGUGGAAUGAUGUCGUUAGCUGUGAAGGCAAAGACAAAGGAUUUGGUUAAGUGUGUAGUAGUUGAUGGCGGAGAACUAAAAUCAAGGCGCCAUUUAAAUGUGCGUGGAAAAAGUGCAACUCUGCCAUCAAUAACAGACAAAGAUUGGGAAGAUAUCAAAUUUGGGGUGGACAACCAAGUUGAUUUUUAUGCUGUUUCUUUUGUGAAGGAUGCUAGAGUGGUCCAUGAGUUGAAGGAUUAUCUGGAAGGCUGCAAUGCAGACAUUCACGUUAUUGUGAAAAUUGAAAGUGCUGAUUCUAUACCAAAUCUUCACUCAAUAAUUUCUGCUUCUGAUGGGGCAAUGGUUGCUCGUGGAGACCUUGGAGCUGAACUUCCAAUUGAGGAGGUCCCUUUAUUGCAGGAAGACAUCAUUAGAAGGUGUCGUAGUAUGCAUAAACCUGUAAUAGUGGCAACAAAUAUGCUUGAAAGCAUGAUUAAUCAUCCUACACCAACAAGAGCUGAAGUUUCUGACAUCGCAAUUGCUGUUCGAGAAGGUGCUGAUGCAAUUAUGCUUUCUGGAGAAACUGCACAUGGAAAGUAUCCAAUUAAAGCUGUUAAAGUUAUGCACAGUGUGGCGUUGAGGACCGAGUCAAGUCUUCCAGUCAGCAUUAUGCCUCCAGUUCGUUUUAAUGCUUACAAGAGUCAUAUGGGCGAAAUGUUUGCUUUCCAUUCCACAACUAUGGCCAACACCCUUAACACGCCAAUCAUUGUCUUUACAAGGACAGGAUCCAUGGCUAUACUAUUAAGUCAUUACCGUCCUUCCUCAUCAAUCUUUGCCUUCACGAAUGAGGAAAGGAUUAAGCAGAGACUGGCACUUUAUCAAGGGGUCAUGCCCAUAUAUAUGCAGUUUUCAGAUGAUGCAGAGGAGACCUUCUCCCGAGCACUCAAGCUGUUAAUGGACAAGAAUUUGGUGAAGGAGGGAGAGCAUGUUACUCUAGUCCAAAGUGGAGCGCAACCGAUCUGGCGUCGGGAAUCAACCCAUCACAUCCAAGUUCGAAAAGUCCAAGCAUAAUUCUAUGUUUGGAAGAGUGAAGACACUUUUUCUUGUGAUAGAAGUUACUAAGGAGUAGUUUUUCCUUCCAGCUUGAUACACUUGUACCAACGGGCACAUGCUAUAUAGACAAGCAAGUCAAUUGUUGUCAGGCCAGCUAAGAGGAAGUAAAACCUAUCUAGGUGACCUUUGUUGAGAUUGCCUGGGAUCCAUCC